AGGAUAAACGCUGGCGGCGUGCAUGAGACAUGCAAGUCGAACGGACGAUCGGGGCUUGCUCUGAUCGUUAGUGGCGGACGGCUGAGUAACGCGUAGGUGACCUGCCCCGAAGUGGGGAAUAACUGCCCGAAAGGGUGGCCAAUACCGCAUGUGGUGGUGUGUUCAUUCACACCAGUAAAGCCGCAAGGCGCUUCGGGAGGGGCCUGCGUCCGAUUAGCUCGUUGGUGGGGUAACGGCUCACCAAGGCGACGAUCGGUAGGUGGUCUGAGAGGACGAUCACCCAGACUGGGACUGAGACACGGCCCAGACUCCUACGGGAGGCAGCAGUCGGGAAUUUUGCGCAAUGGACGAAAGUCUGACGCAGCAACGCCGCGUGAGGGAUGAAGGCCUUCGGGUUGUAAACCUCUUUUAUCAGGGAAGAUAAUGACGGUACCUGAUGAAUAAGUCACGGCUAACUACGUGCCAGCAGCCGC
rnacentral:rRNA from 1 species